GACGAACCGAGCGAACGUUGUUCGGAAUCACUGGGCUUAAAGGGCGCGUAGGCGGAUUCUCAAGUCCGGGGUGAAAUCCCACAGCUCAACUGUGGAACUGCCUCGGAUACUGGGGGUCUCGAGGGUGGCAGGGGUAUGCGGAACUAUCGGUGGAGCGGUGAAAUGCGUUGAUAUCGAUAGGAACUCCGGUGGCGAAGGCGGCAUACUGGUCCACUUCUGACGCUGAGGCGCGAAAGCCAGGGGAGCAAAGCGGG
rnacentral:rRNA from 1 species